UACGAAGGGGGCUAGCGUUGUUCGGAAUUACUGGGCGUAAAGCGCACGUAGGCGGAUAUUUAAGUCAGGGGUGAAAUCCCAGAGCUCAACUCUGGAACUGCCUUUGAUACUGGGUAUCUUGAGUAUGGAAGAGGUAAGUGGAAUUGCGAGUGUAGAGGUGAAAUUCGUAGAUAUUCGCAGGAACACCAGUGGCGAAGGCGGCUUACUGGUCCAUUACUGACGCUGAGGAGCGAAAGCCAGGGGAGCAAACGGG
rnacentral:rRNA from 1 species